ensembl:lncRNA
AUGAGGUUAAAAAGCUCCAAACCUGCAGGAUUCUCUUGUUCUUCACAGAGCGAGAGUUGUGUGGCAGGUAACGUCAGUUUGUUGGUGUCUGUCAGCAAUAACUCAACUCUGCUGGUUGACUGGAACAGUGGGAGCAAACAGACGACCCAAUGUGCUCUGCUCAUCUCAAGCGAAGGAAGACAGGAGAUCCAGAUACACCUUUUACCAAGGUCUGGAUCUCUCCUGUUGGAAAACAUGACAGACAAUGGCAAACACUCCUUCUUAUGCACUUGUUUUGAACAAUCUCGGGGACUCUUGUGCUCCAAGAACAUAAGCUUUGUUAUGGGCGCUGUUUCCACACCACCUCUGGUCCUGAUGUCAAAUACUCAAAGCUCUGCCAGUUACAUCAGCAUCUCUGGAGGUGUUCCUCAUGUUAUCCGAGUGUGAACGAGUUAACACAUCUGCUUAGCUGCCAUCAGUGCGAAUGGCAUGACUCACAUCCUCUGAGAACAUCAACAGUGGUGACUUUAAAAUGCAGAAUCUCAUUUAUGCAGCAUCACUAAAGGAAGACAUUACCUGUUUUAUGCAUAAUUUUCUGCACACCUCCGUAUCAGCCUUAGCGAGCUAAUGAUUAAACAGGGAAAUGGGCUGUCACAUCCUGAGCCCAGGAAAUGGCACAGGGCCAGGAAUUAGAAGAACACGUUUAGCAAAGGAAACAGGAUGGAGAAGCAUUAAAAAGUUGUAGAAAAGGCAUGGUGGAUGGUACAUGAAUUAUAGAUACUAAAAGAGAGUUGGAUAAUAAUUUUUUGUGCUUGCUUUGUUUUAGCACCUGAUUUGCUAAAGGAAUUAUGUGCAUAAGAAAACUUUUUAUUUUAAUUUUUUAUAAUGUCACAAUUUUCAUACAUAAAAUGUAGCUCAAAGUGCUUCACAAGGUAAAAUACAAACAUAAAAAUAAAAACACACCAAUGACAAUGCA